GCUAAAUAUAUCCACAGAACCGAUAGCGAACAAGUACCGUGAGGGAAAGUUGAAAAGCACUCUGGAGAGAGAGUCAAAAGACCGUGAAACCGCUCAGAGUAUAAGCCCAUGGCAGCUUGGAAGGCGUGUCGCUAGCGGGGCGUCGCUGUUGCCAGCAAUGGUGAACGGGCGCAACCUUGCCUCAGCAAUGGCUCGUCAGGUAGGGGGGUCGAGUCCAUAUCCCGCCGUCGUGAGGGAGUGAGUGUUGGCGUGUUGGUCCUUCGGGAGAUCCUCGUGGUCGAUCGUUGGGCACUUCGCGUCGGCCUCUCUCUUGAUCACGGACGUUCAGACGCUGGGGCAAGACGCGACAAAUCAGCCCACCACGGCACGUUGUGAGGUCACCCACAGGCUCGACUAUCGAUCGCGACUCUUGACGAUGAGCAAGCAAGCGUGUGCGUCGCAAUAAUUUCCUUACCGGGCACCCCUCAAAAGGGGGGCCAGGACGGUGGAUGGACGCACGCUCAACAGUCAGAGUCGGGCGGUGACUGAGUAUUCCUGGUAUGAUCCUCUUGCGACGAGCCGGCUUCUGGCCUUUCCGGCGACCGGGUCUGCGCCUGUGCCGCGUAGACCUUUCCUAAAGACGGUUUGGAGCUCUUUGUGAGCACCUCUCAGUCGGUCGCCGGGACGAGUGGUGUAAAGUCCAAGCCCAUCGGUCACGUCUCGAAACACGGG
rnacentral:rRNA from 1 species